rnacentral:rRNA from 1 species
UACGAAGGGGGCUAGCGUUGCUCGGAAUCACUGGGCGUAAAGCGCACGUAGGCGGGUCUUUAAGUCGGGGGUGAAAUCCUGGAGCUCAACUCCAGAACUGCCCUCGAUACUGAGGAUCUCGAGUCCGGGAGAGGUGAGUGGAACUCCGAGUGUAGAGGUGAAAUUCGUAGAUAUUCGGAAGAACACCAGUGGCGAAGGCGGCUCACUGGCCCGGUACUGACGCUGAGGUGCGAAAGCGUGGGGAGCAAAC